AUCUGUUACCCAGGAGGAAGUGUAACUGAGAGAAGUGGAAUACAGAUCUAAGAGGAGUGAGAGAUUCAGGGAGGAGCUAAGAUGUUCCUGAACUAUAGAAGAGAGAGGAACUUCCAUAUUCACCAGAGUUCAACACAGACCAUCAUCAUCACCUUCAUUCAACAUGCUGUCAUUACAUCAUUGUUUCAUUUUGUUAUGUUUAGUGUCCGUUCUAAGAGGGGUCAGCUGUGAAGAUCUCACUGCAUUACAGAGAGAAGAGUUCAGUCCAGAAGGCAGCUCUAUUACUCUGUCCUACAGAUACUCCAAACAAGCAGCUGGUGGUGAUGAGUUCUACUGGUAUCGACAAUAUCCAGGAGAACCACCAGAGUUCAUCAUCUCUCAUUUAGGAACUGGAAACAUUAUGAAUAAUCUGAUCCCUGGACUGAAGAUUAAAGUGGAGUCAAACCAAAUCAAUCUGAGCAUCUCCUCUGCUGCAGUGACAGACUCAGCUGUGUACUACUGUGCUGUGAGGCCCACAGUGACAGGAAACACCACAAGGCUGUACAAAAACCUCUGCAGCUUCUCCCUGAACAUUCACACACUUCAGAUCCCGCCUUUUUCUGAACAACAUCGCCAUCAAGUGGACACCUCGAACAGUACAACUUCUUCUCUCAAAGUGACACACAUCCAACCUCUGAGGGAGACUCCAAAGAUGAAGAGCAGUCGGUCCGGCCUGUGCGUCCACCGGCUCCUGAAUGUGGAUGAACUGGUUAAACUGGUCCUGACUAACAUACGAUUCACUGCAGUGUGAGGUGGAACAGUUCAUGGUGAAGAACUAGCGUUAGAUUGUUGCAGUGGUGUAAUGUAACUAAGUACAUUUACUCAUACUGUACGGAAGUAAAACAUUGAGGUAAUUGUACUUUUAUACAAAUUCAUACUUUGACUUCAUUACAUUGUGUAGGCAAGUGUUGUACUUUUUACUUCACUACGUGUAUUUUACAGAUUGACUGACAGCAGAUUUAGGAUAUUAAUACACAAUAUAAAUCGACACACAUUAUAUUAUAGAUGAAGCUACCCAGUACUCUAUAAAGUCAUUCAAAUAAA